CGAAGGAUGCAAGCGUUAUCCGGAUUCAUUGGGUUUAAAGGGAGCGUAGGCGGCCAGAUAAGUCAGUGGUGAAAUCCUGUUGCUUAACAACAGAACUGCCAUUGAUACUGUUUGGCUUGAGUACAGUUGCUGUGGGCGGAAUAUGACAUGUAGUGGUGAAAUACAUAGAGAUGUCAUAGAACACCGAUUGCGAAGGCAGCUCACAAAACUGUAACUGACGCUGAGGCUCGAAAGUGCGGGGAUCAAACAGGAUUAGAUACCCUGGUAGUCCGCACUGUAAACGAUGAUUACUCGCUGCUGGGAGGUAACUUUCGGUGGCUUAGCGAAAGCGAUAAGUAAUCCACCUGGGGAGUACGCCGGCAUCGGUG
rnacentral:rRNA from 1 species